ensembl:lncRNA
GCCACAUGACAGCAGGACGUUUACAGAAAGAGGGUCUUUACAUUUGGGGGUAAUUCAUUGCAGAAAUGUGCACAGCAUGACAUCCUUCCAGUAAUUUCACUGUUUUUCUUGCAGAACUUCACUUCCUUGCAGCUAAGGGAGAGAAUCAAGAGACAGAUGCACACCUUCACGCUGCAUGCUGCACAGAACGUCCAUGGAGGAGUGAAUACAUACAAGAUAUCACCAGGGCACCCAUUAAAUCCAAUAACAGCUGCAUUUUUUCAAGCACCUUUAAUCAUCUAAAAGCCAUCAGUGGUGUUACGGUCUACAUAGCAUGGGUGGCGUGCACAACAGUGAGGGUUCUCGAAAUCCUGGCGGUGAUAUAUGGGUUUUAGAGCAAAAUGCAGAUGACAGCUUUCUCGAGGAAGGCCUUUUUUAUUUCAGCAAA